AGGAUAUUGAAUAGGCACGUUAUCAAUAUUAAAGAAUCAUUGGCCCAACAUGCUACAAAAAAUAUGGAUAUAAAAGGCCUUGGUUAGUUUUUAAUAGCGUUUAAUAGGAACAAGAGAUGUCAGAAAAUGAACAUGAAAUGCCUGUGUCUACAGUAUAUAAGAACAAGUUGAAUAGUGCAUGUUAAUUUCAGUUUUUUUACUCUCACUAUGUUUCACUACUACCUGCAUGAUUUAAUUUAACCUCGAUUUAAUGAAUGUGAGAGAGAAAUUAUGUACUUUAAUAUUAAAUUAAUAUUAUAUGUUAAUUAUAAAUAUUAUAUGUUUCCAAAUUUAACCUAUUAACUGGAAGAUUAAAAGAUAUUAACCCAUUGAGCCACAAUGCACCCUACUUAUACAAAAAUAUGACAAUGUCUCUAGUUACGUACCAUUGAGAUGCAGUUCCCCCC